CGUAGGGUGCAAGCAUUAUCCGGAGUGACUGGGCGUAAAGAGUUGCGUAGGUGGUUUGUUAAGUAGAUAGUGAAAUCUGGGGGCUCAACCUCACGGGCUAUUAUCUAAACUGGCAAACUCGAGAAUGGUAGAGGUAACUGGAAUUUCUUGUGUAGGAGUGAAAUCCGUAGAUAUAAGAAGGAACACCAAUGGCGUAGGCAGGUUACUGGACCAUUUCUGACACUGAGGCACGAAAGCGUGGGGAGCGAACGGGAUUAGAUACCCCGGUAGUCCACGCCGUAAACGAUGGAUACUAGCUGUUGGAGGUAUCGACCCCUCCAGUAGCGAAGCUAACGCGUUAAGUAUCCCGCCUGUGGAGUACGGUCGCAAGACUA
rnacentral:rRNA from 1 species